rnacentral:rRNA from 1 species
UACGAAGGGGGCUAGCGUUGCUCGGAAUCACUGGGCGUAAAGCGCACGUAGGCGGCUUUCUAAGUCAGGGGUGAAAUCCUGGAGCUCAACUCCAGAACUGCCUUUGAUACUGGAGAGCUUGAGUCCGGAAGAGGUGAGUGGAACUCCGAGUGUAGAGGUGAAAUUCGUAGAUAUUCGGAAGAACACCAGUGGCGAAGGCGGCUCACUGGUCCGGUACUGACGCUGAGGUGCGAAAGCGUGGGGAGCAAACAGA